GACGAACGCUGGCGGCGUGCUUAACACAUGCAAGUCGAACGGAAAGGCCCUGCUUGUGUGGUGUGCUCGAGUGGCGAACGGGUGAGUAACACGUGAGUAACCUGCUCUUGAUUUUGGGAUAACUUCAGGAAACUGGGGCUAAUAUCGGAUAGGAGCUCCUGCUGCAUGGUGGGGGUUGGAAAGUUUCGGCGGUUGGGGAUGGACUCGCGGCUUAUCAGCUUGUUGGUGGGGUAGUGGCUUACCAAGGCUUUGGCAGGUAGCCCGCCUGGGAGGGUGACAGGCCACAUAGGGACUGAGGUGCGGCCCAGACGCCUACGGGAGGCAGCAGUGGGGAAUAUUGCACAAGCGGCGGAAGCCUGAUGCAGAAACGCCGCGUGCUGUAUGGCGGCCUUCGGGUUGUAGACCGCUUUCGCCUGUAACGAAGCGUGAGUGACGGUAAUGGAUAAAGAAGCACCGGCUAACUACGUG
rnacentral:rRNA from 1 species